CUGUUUCAGCUAUGCCUCCAAGAAAAAUGUACCAGCUUCUCUCAGAAUUUCAAAGGGAAGUUGAUGGUCAAUAAAGCAGGACAUGAUCGUGUAGGUUCUGAACACUAAUUUGGAGAUCUUAACUAACCACAGAUAUCUAGCUUAUGAAGUAGAUGGAGAAGGUGAGAUGGAAAUUUUAAAGGACUUUCAGAGUGCAUAGAAUUCCCAUGGUCUAAGAUGAGGAAUGCUUUUCUUCUACCUUAGGAGGGGAAAAUUGAUGUUAAAAAAUCACACUCAGAAUUUCACAUGUUUACCCUGGAGCUUCGGAUAGAGGUAACAUCUUAAGGAAUUGAUUUCUCAUUUGAGUCUGAGAAAGAAUAGUCCUGGAAUUGACUUAGAUGGUGCCCAUUAUAAUUUCUUGGAGGGAUGAAGCUGCCAUCAGCAGAAAGAAGCUAGAGGUGAACUGCCAAUGCAUAGAUGGCAAGAAAACUGCUUGAGCUACCAAUUGGAGGAGAUACAUUUACUUCAUAGUGAGAGGAAGAGAAGGAGGUUGAUAACGAAACCAUCAGCCAAAAUAGAGUAAACUUUCAACAUCUGCCAAACCCGAAGAAGUCAAUGCUUGAACACCCCAACAAAACCAUGAGGACUGAAAAUUUUCCCAAGAUGGCCGAAUAGGAACAGCUCUGGUCUACAGCUCCCA
rnacentral:lncRNA from 10 species